CCAGGACCUUAAAAAGAGCCCAAGUUGUUGAGCUCCCUGCCAAGUCACCCCCAGGUAUCUCUGCCCACCAGCUUGCAUGAGCCAGAUCCUCAGUGCAGGUUUUUCCAAUCAGUCAUUUGUUCUUCCACCCAACGCUCAAGAUUUGCUUCUUCAAGACAACUCUCUGAUCAGCUGAGACCCAUAGACACCCAGCUUCUACCACACAUAUGAUGGCAUUAUCCUAGGGCAUGGCAGAGCAACGCAAGGGAAAACUCUGGGCCCCCAAGUGAUGUCAUGGAGGAGAACUCUCAACCCAGAACUACUACGUGAGAAACAACGCUCUCUCUUCUUUAAGCCAUAGGUGUGUUGGGAAUCUUUGUUACAGCAGCACGCCUGAUCUUUUGUUUUGUUUUGUUUUGUUUUAGAGAUGGAGUCUUGCUCUUUCGCCAGGCUGGAGUGCAGUGGUGCGAUCUUGGCUCACCAUGUUGGUCAGGCUGGUUUCAAAUCCCUGACCUCAAGUGAUCCUCCCACCUUGGCCUCCCAAAGUGCUGGGAUUACAGGUGUGAGCCACCGCACCCGGCCCAGCCAUGCCUUGUCUUAACUAGCAUAGCCGCCCAACGUCCACUUCUUUUGGCCAUGUUGUCCUGAUUCUGCUGGAGAAUCCCUUUCCCACUGCUCCCAGACCAGUGGUGUAGCUGACCUGCGCUCUCUCCACUCAAUUCAGGGGAGGGAGGGGUUUAGGCCUGGGCUAAGAGAGCUGCACAUUUCCCAGGGCACAGUGAUUAGUUGAGGGUGGGUCCCAGAGCCAAAUCUGCCCAAGAUCUUAGCCUGAAAGAGAAACCCUCCUGCUGAGUGACUGCACUGUGAGGCAGAAGUCCAGAGCUGUGGGUGGCCAUCCAGCCUCCAUUUGCGCCUGCCUGAGAAAGAAGCCACCAUGGGGGAAAUCGAGCUAAAAGACGGAGAGGGAGGUAAGAGAGGAUGACAUCACAUAAGCACCAGAUCUGGCCACCCCUGAAACUGGAACAACCCUAAGCUUUACAGCUACUACAUUCCCUUUUCUGCUGAAGUUGUUUUACACUGGGUUUCUGUCUCUUGCAACCAAGAGCUCUGUUAAAUAAAAACCUGACCCUAAGGAGAACGUUAGCUGGUUCACAAUUCCCUGUGCAAAACAGGCACAGGUCAGCUGCCCCAGCCUGUCGUUUGGAUAUUCCUUUCUAAGAACGCUCACUUUUGUUGUCUACAUGACCCAGAUAACCAAGGAGAAAGCAAAUCAACCGCCUUCCAGCGGCGCCUUCCUUGGCAGCAAGUGCUAAGAGAGAACACAAUGUGAGUACUCUGCCCUCUGGAGUCAGGGUUGAUCCUCAGCACUUGCUGUCCUGGGAGGCUGCACCUGUGACACUUGAGUGCCAGGUUCAACCCCUACUGCUGCUGCUGCUGCCUGAAUGGGGCCAUUUAGACUGUUGAGUGCUACAGCCUCAGCCCAGGAACCCGGAGCUUCACAUGAGGCAGAGCAGGGCCCCAGGGUCCCUGAAACUUGCCAGUUCAAACAGCAGAGGGGUGAGGACUCCCCAGUCAGCCCUGGUCUCAUACCUGCCUCUGCAUGGUCCCAGUCCAGCCUGAGGCCUUUGCUUUCUUUUUUGAAGGGAAGGUGAGGAGAGAGGGGGAAAAUAGAGGUGUUCUGACUAGACUUAGGAUUCCUGGCCUCUGCCUCUGACCGCCAGAGGACAGCCUCUGCAGUUGCCUCAUCUACUCAUGAAAACAGGCCUGUGACCCCAGGGGUGCUCUGAGGAUUCUUCCAGAAAACAUCUGCCCAGCUAGGACUACCUAGCUCACUGCCCAAAAAGGGUUCAUUUCCUUUCCUUCUGAAACAAAAGCGCUUAAUUGGAAGAGAAGCAUUGACUCAAGCUAUAGGAUAUGCCACUUAAAAUGUCCAGAUCUUGGCACAAGGCCUGGCGCACAGUGUGGGAGAGAAGGAGAGAAGAAGGUGGAAGGAAAGGAGGGAGGGGAAAGAGGAAGCAGGGAGGGAGAAAAUAAGACAAGGGCCUCCUCAUCUGGAUGCUUCCCUAGACCAAGAAGUGGCCCAGGUGGUGCCCAGGGGACAGGGAGUGGGCAAUAAAAGACAAUGGGGUGUAGGUGAUAGGGUGUAGAUGAUCAGGGUAUAGGUGAUCAGGAUGUAGGUGAUGGGGUGUAGAUGACUGGGGUAUAGAUGAUUGAAGUGUAGGUGAUGGGGUAUAGAUGAUCGAGGUGUAGGUGAUGGGGUAUAGAUGAUUGAGGUGUAGGUGAUGGGGUGUAGGUGAUGGGGGUCAAGGUGAUCAAGGUGUAGGUGAUGGGGUGUUGGUGAUUGGGGUGUAGGUGAUCAGGGUGUAAGUGAUGGGGUAUAGGUGAUGGGGGUCAAGGUGAUCAAGGUGUUGGUGAUGGGGUGUUGGUGAUCGGGGUGUAAGUGAUGAGGUAUAGGUGGUGGGGUGUAGAUGAUUGGGGUGUAGGUGAUGGGGUGUAGGUGACGGGUAUAGGUGAUGGGGUAUAGAUGAUCAGGGUGUAGGUGAUUGGGGUAUAGGUGAGCAGGGUGUAAGUGAAGGGGUAUAGGUGGUGGGGUAUAGAUGAUCAGGUGUAGGUGACUGGGGUUUGGGUGAUGGGGUGUAGGUGAUGGGGUAUAGAUGAUUGAGGUAUCGGUGAUGGGGGUCAAGGUGAUCAAGGUGUAGGUGAUGGGGUGUUGGUGAUUGGGGUGUAGGUGAUCAGGGUGUAAGUGAUGAGGUAUAGGUGAUGCAGUGUAGGUGAUCAGGGUAUAGGUGAUGAGGUGUAGGUGAUGGAGUGUAGAUGAUUGAGGUGUAGGUGAUGGGGUAUAGGUGAUUGGGGUGUAGGCAAUGGGGUGUAGGUGAUCGGGGUCAAGGUGAUAGAGGUGUAGGUGAUGGGGUGUUGGUGAUUGGGGUGUAGGUGAUCAGGGUGUAGGUGAUGGGGUAUAGGUGAUUGGGGUGUAGGCAAUGGGGUGUAGGUGAUUGGGGUCAAGGAGAUAGAGGUGUAGGUGAUGGGCUGUUGCUGACCAGGGUGUAGGUGAUCAGGGUGUAGGUGAUCCGAACUUCCUACUCAAUUCAGGCAACAGCUCCCAGCCUGAGGCAAAUACCCCCCGAGGCAGUCAGGGUCUCACCUCCCAUGGCUCUGACGCAGGCCUCCAAGGUGAGGAGAUGGAGGUAGCAGAGGUCACUUCACUCAGCUGUCACACACCCUGAGGGAACUCCUGUCACUGUUAUCCCACCUGCAAGUGAGGAGCCAGCAUUUCUCAUGCUCCAGGGUUGGCCACAGAGCCCAUUCAAGGGAGGGAGAAGAGCCUUCGGCCAGCGCAUCCUAACCGCAGAAAGCCAAGACCUCUGCAGAAAAAGAGACCAGGCCCAUAAAAAGAGAUCCAUGAGUUGAGUUCCCUGCCAUGCCACCCCCAGGCAUCUCUGCCCACCAGCCUGCAUGAGCCAGCCCCUCAGUGCAGGUUUUUCCAAUUGGCCGUUUGUUCUUCCACCCAACACUCAAGAUUUGCUUCUCAGCCUGGACAACAUAGCAAAACCCCAUCUCUACAAAAAAUACAAAAAUUAGCUGGGCAUAGUGGCACACACCUAUAGUCCCAGCUACUCGGGAGGCUGAAGUGGGAAGAUUACCUGAGCCUGGGAGGUCAAGGUUGCAGUGAGCCAUGAUCAUGCCACUGUACUCCAGCCUGGGUGACAGAGUGAGAACUUGUCUCAAAAACAAAAAAAGAGAGGAAGAUCUGCUUCUUCAAACCCACACAACUAAUAUAAAGUAAUCAACCUCCCCACCUCAAUAACCUGAAGUUAAACAUCACACAAUAAGCCCUGAACAGAGAGCUGUAGGUCAAUGUUCCAUUUUGCUUUUAAAAGCUUCACAAGAACAUUUCAUUUAUUAAAAUAGUUUCUGUAAACUCUUUCAGAAUAACAAAAUUCACUUGCCUUGCUUAAACAGCAUUUCAAGUAGAAGUAUUUUUAUUUCAAGGCACCAUAAAAUGAUGAUCUCUCUAAGAAAUACCUCUCCUUC
rnacentral:lncRNA from 1 species